GUGUCAGCCGCCGCGGUAAUACGGAGGGUGCGAGCGUUGUUCGGAAUUACUGGGCGUAAAGCGCGUGCAGGCGGCCGACUAAGUCAGGUGUGAAAGCCCGGGGCUCACCUCCGGAAGUGCGCUUGAAACUGGUCGGCUAGAGUACGGGAGAGGGAAGCGGAAUUCCUGGUGUAGCGGUGAAAUGCGUAGAUAUCAGGAGGAACACCGGCGGCGAAGGCGGCUUCCUGGACCGAUACUGACGCUGAGACGCGAAAGCGUGGGGAGCAAACAGGAUUAGAAACCCUCGUAGUCC
rnacentral:rRNA from 1 species